rnacentral:rRNA from 1 species
CCAGACUCCUACGGGAGGCAGCAGUGGGGAAUAUUGCACAAUGGGGGAAACCCUGAUGCAGCGACGCCGCGUGAGUGAAGAAGUAUUUCGGUAUGUAAAGCUCUAUCAGCAGGGAAGAAAAUGACGGUACCUGAUUAAGAAGCCCCGGCUAACUACGUGCCAGCAGCCGCGGUAAUACGUAGGGGGCAAGCGUUAUCCGGAUUUACUGGGUGUAAAGGGAGCGUAGACGGCAGCGCAAGUCUGAAGUGAAAUGCCGGGCUUAACCCCGGAACUGCUUUGGAAACUGUGCAGCUAGAGUGCAGGAGAGGUAAGUGGAAUUCCUAGUGUAGCGGUGAAAUGCGUAGAUAUUAGGAGGAACACCAGUGGCGAAGGCGGCUUACUGGACUGUAACUGACGUUGAGGCUCGAAAGCGUGGGGAGCAAACAGGAUUAGAUACCCGGGUA